UCGAUUAGGCGAAUUGAUUUAUUCAAGUAAAAAUUAUAUAAAUUAGUAUAUAUUUAAAUCAACCAAGUGUUUUUAUUGUUUUUUUGUAGAAUUAAAUUUGAAAAUAUAUUGGAGUAUUUUUAGUUUAAAGUUGUAUGCCUUUGUUAAAACUUGGUUGUGUUUGUAUUUCUACUUGAAUCAAGUAGAUGUGAUUAAUAAAUUUUUUAUAAAGAAAUUACUAUAGUUAAAAAAGGCUGAAAUUAAAAAAUAUGAUGAUUUAUUUCAAGAAAGGGAGUGACUUACUUCAAAAUGUCAUUUUAAAAUUUUUAUUCUUUAAUGAUAUUCUGGUCUUAAUACCAAAUGUUUAGCAGUAUGAAACCUAUAAUGUUAUAUACCAUAUUAUAUACCCUAUUAUACUUAUAAAGUUAAUAAUCUGUAAAGUAAUUUGUAAAAAUUUUUUAAUUGUAAAAUUGCUACACGAGAAGACAAGUUGUUAGAUGAAAUUCAAAUAUUCUCUAUGUUUGUGUUGUGUAGGUCAAAAAAUAAUAAACAAAGAUGAUAUUGAUUGUGAUGACCAAAAGAUUUAUUUUAAGACACAUCAAUCUUCAUCAUCUUUAAAUAAAAAGGAUAAACAUUAUGGAUUUCCAUUAUCUCAAGCAAACUUUCAAUAUUAUGUGUUGCUUCUCUUAAAUGAGAUAAAAACCCAAGGAUGCAAAAAACUUAAUAUAAAAUAGUGUGAAGAAGAAGUACAGUAAAUGAACAGCAUAAUAGAAUUUGAUAAGUUUGACUCAGCACUUGACAAUGUUUCAUCUAGUAACUCGUAGUAUCUCUGCAGUUGUAAAUUGCUAAGUACUGAUUUGACAGAUUUUUUUUUUUUUUUUUAAUUUUCUUUACAAUAUAUAAUUUUUACUACUUAAUUAGGAAUUGUCAGAUUUCCAUUAUUUCUUUCUAUUACAAACAAAGAGUUCAAAAUAUUAGUGGUAAGAACAGUCAAAAACUUGUAAUAGCUACGAUGAAGAGUUUUAUGACAAAUUCGCUCAUGGCCAAAUCUAAUAUGGCAGCUAGAAAAGGCAAAGGAUCUUUUUAGCCUAACCAAGCUAUACAACUUAAUAAAAGUUUGUGCAUCGACUUCUCACGAAUCAUACACAGAGUCGAUUGUCGAUGCAAUUAUUGCUGAUUCGUGAAAACGGGCAACUUUUGCUUGUCUUAAAGUGCCUUAAAUCCAACAGAUAUCAUCGUUAUAAUAUUACUUUGUUUGUAAAUUGUUUUAAAAAAUAAAUUUUAAA